GAUGAACGCUGGCGGCGUGCCUAAUACAUGCAAGUCGAGCGAAGCGGGGACGGGUGAGUAAAACGCGGAAACCCUCCUAUAAGACUGGGAUAACUUCGGUAAACCGGAGCUAAAUCCGAUACUUAGAGAUGGAUCCGCGCUGCAUUAUCUAGUGGGUAAGGUAACGGCUUACCAAGGCAACGACGCAUAGCCGACCGGAGAGGGUGAUCGGCCACACUGGAACUGAGACACGGCCCAGACUCCUACGGGAGGCAGCAGUAGGGAAUCUUCCGAAAUGGGCGAAAGCCUGACGGAGCAACGCCGCGUGAGUGAGGAAGGUCUUCGGAUCGUAAAACUCUGUUAUUAGGGAAGCGGUACCUAAUCAGAAAGCCACGGCUAACUACGUGCCAGCAGCCGCGGUAAUAC
rnacentral:rRNA from 1 species